AAGGAUUUAAGUUAAUUUAAACUAAUAGCCUUCAAAGCUGUAAAUAGAAAGGUUCUAAGCCUU
rnacentral:tRNA from 1 species